UUAGUCCCUGAUUAAUCCACGAAUUAAUCGUUGGAUCGCGGGGGAUACUGCUUGGCUAGGGGACGAGAGAGGCAGACGGUAUUUCCGGGGUAGGGGUGAAAUCCUAUAAUCCCGGGAAGACCACCAGUGGCGAAGGCUGUCUGCUAGAACGCGCCCGACGGUGAGGGAUGAAAGCUGGGGGAGCGAACCGGAUUAGAUACCCGGGUAGUCCCAGCUGUAAACGAUGCAGGCUAGGUGUUUGGACGGCCACGUGCCGUUCUAGUGCCGCAGGGAAGCUGUUAAGCCUGCCGCCUGGGGAGUACGAUCGCAAGAUUGAAACUUAAAGGAAUUGGCGGGGGAGCACCACAAGGGGUGAAGCUUGCGGUUUAAUUGGAGUCAACGCCGGAAAUCUCACCGGGAGCGACAGCAGUGUGAAGGCCAGAUUAAAGGUCUUGCCAGACGAGCUGAGAGGAGGUGCAUGGCCGUCGCCAGUUCGUGCCGUGAGGUGUCCUGUUAAGUCAGGCAACGAUCGAGACCCGCGUCCUCUGUUGCUACUAGCCUUGUGCUGGGCACACUGAGGAGACCGCCACUGAUAAAGUGGAGGAAGGAGCGGGCCACGGCAGGUCAGUAUGCCCCGAAUCUCCCGGGCCACACGCGAGCUGCAAUGGCAAGUACAAUGAGUUCCAACCUCGAAAGGGGGAGGCAAUCUCGAAAGCCUGCCGUAGUUGGGAUCGAAGGCUGCCACCCGCCUUCGUGAACAUGCAAUCCCUAGUAAUCGCGUGGCAUCCGCGCGCGGUGAAUACGUCCCUGCUCCUUGCAC
rnacentral:rRNA from 1 species